GUGCUCUCUUCAGCAACACAUAUGCUAAAAGUAGAACAAUACAGAGAAGAUUAGCAUGAUCCCUGCUCAGGGAUGACAUGCAAAUUCAUGAGGCAUUCCAUAUUUUU
ensembl:snRNA U6 U6 spliceosomal RNA